rnacentral:misc_RNA from 1 species
CAAAUGAAAACUUGGACCAUCCUUUAUUUAAGUCAUCGUGCAAGGGCAGCCUCACGACUGGCAUCAAACUUGGCGAUAAGUUCGUCGCGAGGUGGCCAAUUUUCUUGAAUGAUUGGGGCAGUUGAGAAUUCUUGAAUCCAUUGUAGCAAUAGUGGGAAUUUUUCUUGGUCUAUGAGUUUUAGACCAAUUACUUCCUCAAUUAUACCCAAAUAAUAAGCAAGCCAUCCCAAUGCGAGAUCCACUAACCCAAUUUUCUCUCCUCCAAAGAAUUUCUUUCCUUUUAGCUCCUCUUCUAAAUACUGCAAUAUCUCCAUUGCUCUAGG